UGUAUUCUUCACUCCCUGCGGAAAAAUGCUUGGUGUUGGCGUGGUAAUCCAGGUGGGUAUAUAAAUGCAGUUUCUCGAAUCUUGCGUUGCAAUGCAGGUCUGAAAAUGCACCGCAGGGGGGAGCUGACAAACACAUCGUGAGACCACAUGAAGCUAAGUAACAUAUCUGUUAUUUAAAAUCCUUUACACUCCACAUUGUGGUUUUGAAUGCAUAUUUUUUGCUUUUGCAACUUUUUUUUUGUUUUUACAUGGUGUUUGGAAAAAAAAAUCUCUGCGUUAGAAACAAAUAAGCACAUAAUAUUUCAGAAAGAAAGAAGCCAAACAGCAGAAAAUAGAGGCUUUUGUUAGUUUUAGUCAUUGUAAAACCCCAGGCCAAGUCAGAAAUCAGUCAUAUUAGGUAGCUUGUUAGCAUAUGUCAUGCACAGCUUUUUUUGUAUUUGCAAGGCAAUGACUAGCAUGCAGCUCUAGCCUUUUCU